UUUUUUUUUUUUUUUUUCGUUUUUCUUUGUGUGUGCGUAACUCUGAUUAGAAUGAUGUGGGCUAGAAGACCUGA
rnacentral:ribozyme from 14 species